UCUCUCUCUCUCUCUUCUACCCACUCUCCUUUCUUGGUUUUACCUAUGGCAACUUUGCUGAGAUUUGAGUGCACUGUUUGAUCAAAUGCAAGGUAGAUCGGUCGACGUAACCAGCGAGAAAGAGAUCGGCCCCCAAAGUCCAUCAAGGACCAAGGUUGAGAGCUGCAAGUUUUCUCUAUUCCAACUACUCUCUUCCAGGAAUGGAAGGUGAGGGGAGAUUAAUCGAACGAUCAAACUUUUGGCUGAUGAAAAAGUUCCCAUUUGCUAAACUUUUGACCGGGUUUAACACGCACAAACCCACCGACACAGAGAGAGAAAGAGGAGGAUGGAACUUCAACACUGGAGCCAUAAGCAUCCAUUGACACUCAAUGAAGUGAAGAAUCAUGAUGGUGUGGAAAUUGUUUGCGACGAGUGUUUACAAAACAUCACAACUGGUUCUUCAGCUUAUAGAUGCACAAAUUGUUCAUUCUUUCUACACAAAUUAUGUGCCAAAUUACCCAGACAAAUCAAACACCCAACGUGCCCAGAGA